GACGAACGCUGGCGGCGCGCCUAACACAUGCAAGUCGAACGAGCGAGAGAGAGCUUUCUUUCUCUAGCGAUUGGCGAACGGGUGAGUAACACGUGAGGAACCUGCCCCAAAGAGGGGGACAACAGUUGGAAACGACUGCUAAUACCGCAUAAGCCCACUACCCGGCAUCGGGUAGAGGGAAAAGGAGCAAUCGGCUUUAAGAUGGCCUCGCGUCCGAUUAGCUAGUUGGUGAGGUAACGGCCCACCAAGGCGACGAUCGGUAGCCGUACUGAGAGGCUGAACCGCCACAUUGGGACUGGGACGCGGCAGAGAAUCCUACGGGAGGCAGGAGUGCGGAAUAUUGCAACAUGGGGGAAGCGCUGAUGGAGCGCCGAUGGGUGGAGGAAGAAGGUCUUCGGAUUGUAAACUCCUGUUGAUGAGGCAGAUAAUGACGGUACUUAACCAGGAAGUGACGGCUAACUACGUG
rnacentral:rRNA from 1 species